GUAUUCGGCGGGAAACCCGGCCGAAGAGGGAGCUGGAAAGGACUCCGGAACCCGGCCCUAAUUCCAGCCAAUCAGGGAGUAGAGUUGCGGAGCGGGGCUGGAGCGGGGCAGUCUCGCGGGAGACAGUUUCGCGGGUUCGGGAGGCGCGUCUCCGGUUUCCGCCCAGUCUCUGGGGACGCGGUGGCGGCGUCUGAAUCGCCCGGCUUCCAGGGAGUUUUGGAGUACGAGUACAUCUGGUUGAAAGAGAAAAGGCAGAGACAAAAGCAGACUUUUUGGAGUUGUUGUUCUCAGGCACUAACAGAUUCAUCCCUUAUAUGCAUAUGAAUGGACAAUAAGAUUUCUUGGAUAUUUUCAUGGCAAAGGGUAAGAGUGAAGCUAUCCUGGCCAAGAACUUUGAGAGAGACAACACUAUUCACUCUGAAGGACAAAAAAAUGAGCAGAAAAUUUGGGAUAAAUGUCAACAAGAUUUGAACCCUAAAGAAAAGCAAGCAUCGAGUUAGACCUCCAUAUUCAUUCAACUGGGAAACUAAAACUGCGCGGUCCCAACAUCAGAAUUUCCUUGGUCAGUUGGUUAUUGUAGGACAGCAUUCUUCUGCGUGACAGUAUUGUCUCCUUACCAGCCACAGAGGAGGCUGUGAAAGAGAGGAUUUGGGAAAUUGGUGCAAAUGAGAAAACUUGGAAAUCUAGAACUAAAGCCUUUCAGCAGGAAAUCCAGAUGCUCACUAAGUGACUAGAGCAGCUGCAUCAUCUUUAAGAAGAAGGUGCUCAAGAAUUAUCCCAAGCUGAAGAAAAAAGUAUUGGGAACAAAAAAGACCCUUGAAAUGUCUAGAAAGAAAAAUUGAGAUCAAGGACUUUUUCAAGAGAGAUUAGACUUGGACGGGAAGAAAAAUUUGCAGAUUGCUACAACACAAAGAUUGGAGGAGAAAAUUCAGAAACUUCAGAAACUGCUGUGAUUUGAAAUUGUCAAAUAAAAAUAUGAAAACUCAGCUGACAAGAGUAAAUGUCCUUAAAGACAAAACAAUUGAAGAGCUCAGGCAAUCUUUAGCAAAUGUUGGAACGAUGAAAGAGAAGGCAGUUGUGAAAACAGAAAACUUGAAAACUACAUGAGACUCUGCAGAGCAAAAGGCAAGAUCAGACAAAGAGAAGACCCAGCAGAUGUUAAAUGCUGUCACUUCUGAGCCCCCCACCGCAAAGAGCACACCUGAAGAAGUAUCAGGACAAGAACAAGAGGUUUUUUCAAAAUAGUAAAAUUAAAAUUAAUUUAGUUGAAGUGAUAAACACCCACGCCUACUUAGACUAUAACUAACUUGACAAAAGGGAAUAUUGGCUUGUGGAAUCAUGAGUUAAACAACCUAACCUCCAGGUGGGCGGAGAUGCACCUGGGCCCCAGGAUCAGCACCUGGAACCUACAAGCCCUUUCUUGGCAUCUAUGUGUCAGCUCAUCUGUCUGACUGCUGGUUGGUUUUCUCCAUGACAGGAAACAUGAUCACUGGCAACCAUGGAGAUUUAUGUGGAGUUUCUGUGACAGGAGAGAGAAUCCCAAGAAAAGGUCUUAUUGGCCCAGUUUAGGUCAAGUGCUUAUCCCUGCUAAACCCACAGUGGCUAGGGAUGGGAUAUAUGAUUAUUUUAUAUACUCUAACCAGUGACCAGGAGGAUAGAGUUCUAUGACAUCAUGUGUCAUCAUGUGAAGCCCAGGGGAAACCAUGUGUGUCACUUUCUGUGUCACUGUCUAGGAGAAUAGAGUAGUGCUUCUUAACUUGCUUAGAUUUUCACUACACUUAUAAAGCAAAUAUUUUGAGACAAUUUUUUAAAGGCUAACUGAUCAUUUGGGGCAAUUUUUAAAUUAUAUGUCACUUCUCCAUAUAUUAGUUGCUUAGGAAACUUAUACCUUAAGCUAUGCUUAAAACAUAAAGUCAUGAUAUUAGCAUUUUCACUUUUUUCUCUCAUUAACUUCUGUGUGUUCACUUUCUUGAUUGUUUCUAUUCCUCUCUUUUAUUUUUUGAGACAGAGUCUCACUCUGUCGCCCAGGCUGGAGUGCAAUAGCAUGCUCAUGGCUCACUGCAGCCUCGACCUCCUGAGCUAAAGCAAUCCCCUCAGUGCAGCCUUCCGAGUAGCUGGGGCUACAGGUGUGCCACCACUACACCUAAUUUUUGUAUGUUUUGUAGAGACAGGGUUUCACCAUGUUGCCCAGGCUGGUCUCAAACUCCUGGGCUCAAGCAAUUCUCCUGCCUUGGCUUCCCAAAGUGCUGGGAUUACAGGUGUGAGCCACCGUGUCCAGUCCCUUAUUUUAUUUUCAGUCAAAUCUGUUUUCCUUUGGUCACCUUGUAGUUCACUCUUCACUUUUUAGAUGAUUUAGUGUUUUCUUGCCUGAGUUCAACUCUCACAUCUAGAUAUCUUGGACAUCUUUUUUGUUCAUUUCUAUUCUGAAUUAUUAUAUUUCUGAUUCAAAAUAAAGUUUUUCCCCCCAUUUUUGCAAAUCCUUUAAAAAUUGAUAUUUAAUUUUUUUCAGGGAUGUUGUGUCAAAUAUUUGUCCUAUGUUUCAUGGCUGUGUCUUUUUCUUUUUUUUUUUUUGAGAUGGAGUUUCACUCUUGUCACCCAGGCUGGAGUGCAAUGGCAUGAUCUUGGCUCACUGCAACCUCCACAUCCUGGGUUCAAGUAAUUCUCCUGCCUCAACUUCCCAAGUAGCUGGGAUUAUAGGCAGUGCUACCAUGCCCGGCUAAUUUUUGUAUUUUUAGUAGAGAUGGGGUUUCACCCUGUUGGCCAGGCUGGUCUUGAACUCCUUACCUCAGGUGAUCCAACUUCCUUGGCCUCCCAAAGUAUUGGGAUUACAGAUGUGAGCCACCAUGCCCGGCCCAUGGCUGUCUUUUGGGAGUAUUUUUUUUUCAUCGCCUGAACAGUUUAGAUGAUAGUGCCUUUCUAUUUUCUUCUUAAAGUAAUUUUUUAUGUGAAUAUAAUUUGCCAUUUGUCUGUAUUUACUUUCAAAUUCCUUGAAUUGCUCUGGUCUUCAGAUGUUUCUACUUUAGGGUAGCUGGAGGCAGGGCUUACUAGGUUCCUUAGCUCAAUACCACCCUCUUCUGUUGGCAUAGUGAGUGCAGCUUCUAAAGUUUACUAGAUCAAGCCUUUUUGGAAGUGAGGGUUUAUAUGAUGUCUGAUUCUGUAAUACUGUCUCAUUUGUAUAAACUUAUUAAUUUCCA